rnacentral:rRNA from 1 species
AAAAUUAAAUAGCUGCAGAAUUUUAACUGUACAAAGGUAGCAUAAUCAAUAGUUUUUUAAUUAAAAGCUGGAAUGAAUGAUUUGAUAAGGUAAAUAUUGUCUCAAUUUUAAUAAUAUUAAAAUUUUUUUUUUAGUAAAAAUACUAAAUUAAAUUUGAAAGACGAGAAGACCCUAUAGAUUUUUAUAUUUUAUAUUAAUUUAAUUUAAAAUAAUUAAUAAAUUUUAAUAAAAUAAAUAUUUGGUUGGGGAAACUAUUAAAUUAAAUAAAUUUUAAUAUUAAAUAUACAUUAAUUGUUGAAUUUUUGAUCUUAAUAAUUUAAAUUAAAAGAAUAAAUUACCUUAGGGAUAACAGCGUAAUAUUUUUUGAUAGAUCUAAUUAAUAAAAAAGUUUGCGACCUCGAUGUUGAAUUAAGAUUAAAUUUUAAUGAAGAAGUUAAAAAUUUUUGGUCUGUUCGACCAUUAAAAUCUUACGUGAUCUGAGUUCA